UACGUAGGGUGCAAGCGUUAAUCGGAAUUACUGGGCGUAAAGCGUGCGCAGGCGGUUUUGUAAGCCAGAUGUGAAAUCCCCGGGCUUAACCUGGGAAUGGCAUUUGGGACUGCAAGGCUUGAGUGCGGCAGAGGAGACUGGAAUUCCUGGUGUAGCAGUGAAAAUGCGUAGAUAUCAGGAGGAACACCGAUGGCGAAGGCAGGUCUCUGGGCUGACACUGACGCUCAUGCACGAAAGCGUGGGGGAGCAAACAGG
rnacentral:rRNA from 1 species